GACGAACGCUGGCGGCGUGCCUAAUACAUGCAAGUUGAGCGCUGAAGGUUGGUACUUGUACCAACUGGAUGAGCAGCGAACGGGUGUGUAACGCGUGGGGAAUCUGCCUUUGAGCGGGGGACAACAUUUGGAAACGAAUGCUAAUACCGCAUAAAAACUUUAAACACAAGUUUUAAGUUUGAAAGAUGCAAUUGCAUCACUCAAAGAUGAUCCCGCGUUGUAUUAGCUAGUUGGUGAGGUAAAGGCUCACCAAGGCGAUGAUACAUAGCCGACCUGAGAGGGUGAUCGGCCACAUUGGGACUGAGACACGGCCCAAACUCCUACGGGAGGCAGCAGUAGGGAAUCUUCGGCAAUGGACGAAAGUCUGACCGAGCAACGCCGCGUGAGUGAAGAAGGUUUUCGGAUCGUAAAACUCUGUUGGUAGAGAAGAACGUUGGUGAGAGUGGAAAGCUCAUCAAGUGACGGUAACUACCCAGAAAGGGACGGCUAACUACGUG
rnacentral:rRNA from 1 species